rnacentral:miRNA from 1 species
CCCGCCUUGCAUCAAGUGAA